rnacentral:rRNA from 1 species
GACGAACGCUGGCGGCGUGCUUAAUACAUGCAAGUCGAACGGACAGGCCCUGAUCUUGCGGGGUGCUUGAGUGGCGCACGGGUGAGUAAAACGCGAGUAACCUGUCCCUGUCUUUGGGAUAACUUCAGGAAACUGGGGCUCUUAUCGGAUAGGAGCUUUUGCUGCACGGUGGGGGUUGGUAAGUUUCGGCGGUAGGGGAUGGACUCGAGGCUUAUCAGCUUGUUGGUGAAGUAGUGGCUUACCAAGGCUUUGACGGGUAGCCGGCCUGAGAGGGUGACCGGCCACAUUGGUACUGAGAGACGGCCCAGAAUCCUACGUGAGGCAGAAGGCGGAAGUAUUGCACAAUAAGCGGAAGCCUGAUACAGCAACGCCGCGAUCGGGAUAACGGCCUACGAGUGAUAAACCGCUGUCGCCGGUAACGAGGCGUGAGUGACGGUAAUGGGUAAGGAAGCACCGGCUAACUACGUG